rnacentral:rRNA from 1 species
GGGAUUGCCCUAGUAACGGCGAGUGAAGCGGCAACAGCUCAAAUUUGAAAUCUGGCUCUUUCAGAGUCCGAGUUGUAAUUUGCAGAGGGCGCUUUGGAGUUGGCAGCGGUCCAAGUUCCUUGGAACAGGACGUCACAGAGGGUGAGAAUCCCGUACGUGGUCGCUAGCCUUCGCCGUGUAAAGCCCCUUCGACGAGUCGAGUUGUUUGGGAAUGCAGCUCUAAAUGGGAGGUAAAUUUCUUCUAAAGCUAAAUACUGGCCAGAGACCGAUAGCGCACAAGUAGAGUGAUCGAAAGAUGAAAAGCACUUUGGAAAGAGAGUCAAAUAGCACGUGAAAUUGUUGAAAGGGAAGCGCUUGCAGCCAGACUUGCCUGUAGUUGCUUAUCCGGACUCUUGUCCGGUGCACUCUUCUAUAGGCAGGCCAGCAUCAGUUUGGGCGGUUGGAUAAAGGUCUCUGUCAUGUACCUCUCUUCGGGGAGGCCUUAUAGGGGAGACGACAUGCAACCAGCCUGGACUGAGGUCCGCGCAUCUGCUAGGAUGCUGGCGUAAUGGCUGUAAGCGGCCCGUCUUGAAACACGGACCAAGGAGUCUAACAUCUAUGCGAGUGUUUGGGUGUCAAGCCCAGACGCGUAAUGAAAGUGAACGGAGGUGGGAACCCUUUGGGUGCACCAUCGACCGAUCCUGAUGUCUUCGGAUGGAUUUGAGUAAGAGCAUGGCUGUUGGGACCCGAAAGAUGGUGAACUAUGCUUGAAUAGGGUGAAGCCAGAGGAAACUCUGGUGGAGGCUCGCAGCGGUUCUGACGUGCAAAUCGAUCGUCAAAUUUGGGCAUAGGGGCG